CGCACCCUGGGGUGUUCGCCAGUCAAAACGUCCUUGGCCGAUAUUGUCACCAUGGGUUUCUCCAAUCAGGCCGUUGUGCAUGUCCGCGCGUCGGAAAGCCUGAAGCCCGCCGGAGAUUCCCACCUUGAGCCUUCGGUUCAAGGCAUCCUUGGCAGCGGCAUUUCGGGGGCCC
rnacentral:other from 1 species